rnacentral:rRNA from 1 species
UACAGAGGUCUCGAGCGUUAGGCGGAAUCACUGGGCUUAAAGCGUGUGUAGGUGGAUGCCUAAGUACCUUGUGAAAUCCCACGGCUUAACCGUGGAACUGCUUGGUAUACUGGGUGUCUUGAGUCACUCAGGGGCUAUCGGAACAAGUGGUGGAGCGGUGAAAUGCGUAGAUAUCAGGAGGAACACCUGUGGCGAAAGCGGCUCACUGGACCAUAACUGACGCUGAUGCACGAAAGCUAGGGGAGCAAACAGG